rnacentral:rRNA from 1 species
CCUACGGGGUGCAGCAGUGGGGAAUAUUGCACAAUGGGGGAAACCCUGAUGCAGCGACGCCGCGUGAGUGAAGAAGUAUUUCGGUAUGUAAAGCUCUAUCAGCAGGGAAGAAAAUGACGGUACCUGAUUAAGAAGCCCCGGCUAACUACGUGCCAGCAGCCGCGGGAAUACGUAGGGGGCAAGCGUUAUCCGGAUUUACUGGGUGUAAAGGGAGAGUAGACGGCAGCACAAGUCUGGAGUGAAAUGCCGGGGCUUAACCCCGGAACUGCUUUGGAAACUGUGCAGCUAGAGUGCAGGAGAGGUAAGUGGAAUUCCUAGGGUAGCGGUGAAAUGCGUAGAUAUUAGGAGGAACACCAGUGGCGAAGGCGGCUUACUGGACUGUAACUGACGUUGAGGCUCGAAAGCGUGGGGAGCAAACAGGAUUAGAUACCCCAGUAGUC